UACGAAGGGGGCUAGCGUUGCUCGGAAUUACUGGGCGUAAAGGGCGCGUAGGCGGCACUGUUAGUCAGGCGUGAAAGUCCUGGGCUCAACCUGGGAACUGCGCUUGAUACGGCAGAGCUGGAGGAUGGAAGAGGGUCGCGGAAUUCCCAGUGUAGAGGUGAAAUUCGUAGAUAUUGGGAAGAACACCGGUGGCGAAGGCGGCGACCUGGUCCGAUACUGACGCUGAGGCGCGAAAGCGUGGGGAGCAAACAGG
rnacentral:rRNA from 1 species